UAGGGAAUCUUCGGCAAUGGGGGGAACCCUGACCGAGCAACGCCGCGUGAGUGAAGAAGGUUUUCGGAUCGUAAAGCUCUGUUGUUAAGGAAGAACGAGUGUGAGAAUGGAAAGUUCAUACUGUGACGGUACUUAACCAGAAAGGGACGGCUAACUACGUGCCAGCAGCCGCGGUAAUACGUAGGUCCCGAGCGUUGUCCGGAUUUAUUGGGCGUAAAGCGAGCGCAGGCGGUUAGAUAAGUCUGAAGUUAAAGGCAGUGGCUCAACCAUUGUAGGCUUUGGAAACUGUUUAACUUGAGGGCAGAAGGGGAGAGUGGAAUUCCAUGUGUAACGGUGAAAUGCGUAGAUAUAUGGAGGAACACCGGUGGCGAAAGCGGCUCUCUAGUCUGUAACUGACGCUGAGGCUCGAAAGCGUGGGGAGCGAACAGG
rnacentral:rRNA from 1 species